rnacentral:rRNA from 1 species
AUUGAACGCUGGCGGCAUGCCUUACACAUGCAAGUCGAACGGCAGCACGGGAGCAAUCCUGGUGGCGAGUGGCGAACGGGUGAGUAAAGUAUCGGAACGUGCCCAGUCGUGGGGGAUAACGUAGCGAAAGUUACGCUAAUACCGCAUACGAUCUAUGGAUGAAAGCGGGGGAUCGCAAGACCUCGCGCGAUUGGAGCGGCCGAUAUCAGAUUAGGUAGUUGGUGGGGUAAAGGCUCACCAAGCCGACGAUCUGUAGCUGGUCUGAGAGGACGACCAGCCACACUGGGACUGAGACACGGCCCAGACUCCUACGGGAGGCAGCAGUGGGGAAUUUUGGACAAUGGGCGCAAGCCUGAUCCAGCCAUGCCGCGUGCAGGAUGAAGGCCUUCGGGUUGUAAACUGCUUUUGUACGGAACGAAAAGGUUUGGCCUAAUACGCUGAACUCAUGACGGUACCGUAAGAAUAAGCACCGGCUAACUACGUGCCAGCAGCCGCCGUAAAAC